AGGCCUUUCAAGAUCUCUCUUAACUCCCUGUGUUACGGAGAUAUGGACAAAACCAUUAAGGUGGAGUGUUAUGAUUAUGACAAUGAUGGGUCACAUGAUCUCAUUGGAACAUUUCAAACCACCAUGACAAAACUGAAAGAAGCCUCCAGAAGCUCACCUGUAAGUUACAUCCUUGCAUUUGCAUAUACUUUAUAGUUUGGCUGUGUAUUUAUUACUGUAUUUCAUUUUUUUCCCGUAGCAUCAAACGGUUUACUGUGCUUUUAGUCUAUAUUGCAUAAUGCUCCAAAAUGUUUAGUAAUCACAUAAUCCACAAUUCAUACUUGGGGUAUGAAUUUUAUUGAGCAGAACACCACGUAACAGUUACUAAUGCCAGAUGAGGACUCCAACUACAUGGAGGACAGCAAAGAUGAUCACAGUGUCAGUCAUUAGGAAUAGAAGUCCAAUCCUUUUGCCUAUUGUAUCGUGGUAUUGGAGUCAAGGCAAACACAAUGCAGGCAAGCACUAGAGGGAACCACACUUUACUUACAGAGAGAAGAGGCAGAGCAAUAUCAGCUUUAAAAGUAGGCAUUGGUUUCCGUGGCCAGCAGUUCCAUCCAGCAACCAAUGCAGGGCAGUUGGCCCCAGUGUGCUUAUCUAGUGCUGUAGAAGAAUGAC
rnacentral:sRNA from 1 species